rnacentral:tRNA from 1 species
GGAGACGUACCCAAGUGGUUGAAGGGGGCAGUUUGCUAAACUGCUAGGGUUCGUAAGGGCCGCGGAGGUUCAAAUCCUCUCGUCUCCGCCA